GUGCUCACUUUGGCAGCACACUCACUAAAAAUUAGAACAAUACAGAGAAGAUUAGCAUGACCACGGGCAAGAAUGAAUGAGUGAAUCUAAUACUUCAAACAGACUAUC